rnacentral:rRNA from 1 species
UACGUAGGCAGCAAGCGUUGUUCGGAGUUAUUGGGCGUAAAGAGCUCGUAGGCGGUUUGUCGCGUCUGCCGUGAAAGUCCGGGGCUCAACUCCGGAUCUGCGGUGGGUACGGGCAGACUAGAGUGAUGUAGGGGAGACUGGAAUUCCUGGUGUAGCGGUGAAAUGCGCAGAUAUCAGGAGGAACACCGAUGGCGAAGGCAGGUCUCUGGGCAUUAACUGACGCUGAGGAGCGAAAGCAUGGGGAGCGAACAGG